rnacentral:misc_RNA from 1 species
AUUGUAUAACGGGGGCCGGCGAGGGAUUGCGCACUUCGGUGCGCCUUUCUUCCCCGCCCUGUCUGAUACUACCCAUGUCUUUUGCGUACCAAUUGUUUCCUCGGUGGGCUUGCCCGCCGGUUGGACACUAUAAAACCUUUUGUAAUUGCAGUCAGCGUCAGAAAAACAUAAUAAUUA